GUGGUGAGGCCUGGCUGGGUGGGGCGGCAGCCGCAGAGCCUUUGGAACGUCGUCGGGGGCGAGGCUUCUGGCUCACAGGAACCCAGCUCGGUGCUGGGUGUGGCCGCCCAGCUGCUGCUAGGGGCGGAGCUGGCCCAGGCCCGGCUUGGCUACAGGGACUGGCUGGGCCAGAUUCAGGCCCCCCCGGAACGUGCAGGCAGGCGGGAUGGGGUGCUCCGGACACGGAAAGAGGGUCUGCUCUGUCCAGAGCCCCUCGAAGCUGCAACUUGGUGUGUUGAAGGGCAGCUUGCUCGGCCUCAAAGGCCCUUUGGGCUGGGAGAGUUGGAGAACCAGAACGAUAGCAGUGGAUAACUGGGAUGGCGAGUCAAAUGUGGACAGGUCUAUCAGACCAAAAGGAGCACACAGGGACUUGAGAGAGGCCUUUUUCAGAGAAGUGCAUCGGUCACCCCGGAGGCUGUGGAGAAAGGAGGGGAGACGACGCACAAGAGAAGAUCCGAGACCUGAUCCUUCCGCUGUGUAAUUCCAAAGACUGGACAUAGCUUCCUUGCAUAGACUUUUGUCUGCAAAGUGAGAAUAUGAACAGCUGCCUGGCCAUCAUGUGGGAUAGCCCUUCCCUGGAAUACUCUCCCUCCAGUCACGCCACCUAGUAAAAACUGCGGUUAAUACCCUGCUGUCUUCGGGAAUUUAAAACGGAAACUAUAAUCACUUGUUUCUUCAAAAGUCAAGGUCUAAGAAUUUACCUCCUUCACUACCAUUCUGUUUAAAACAGUGUAUGAACCUUAAGUCUGGAUGGAGAUAAGGACUGCCUUGCUGUUAAUAAAAAUCAUGUCCUGAAACCAGUUCCUGUAUUGCUUCCACAUUGUAGUCUUGGGGAUUAGCCCCUUACUCAGGAAAAGCCCUCAGACAUCACUUCUUGUUAUCUCUCCUUGAAAAUGCCCUAAGGCCGUCUCUGGAGAUCCUCUCAUCUUGAGAGAAAACUCUUGCAGACCUAGAAACCACCAAAGGGUCCUGAGUGGACAGGCUCCUGAACAAACCAGGGCUGUGUUGACACAAGGAAAUGCCUCUCAGCAUUGAAAAGCAGCCGCUGCCAGGCAGCUGGCAUGGUAGGACGUUCUGGGAAGAAAUAUAUUUGUAUGGGAUAUAUAUGGACAGAAACAGAUCAGGAGUUACGAGUGGUUUUUAUUGGAGGUAGGGCUGAUACUAGGAGCAAAGGGCAGAAUAGGGAUGGGAUGAUGAGACUUCCCUCGAUCUUGAUUAUGAAGGUGGUUACACAAUGUGUGCUCAUCAGAAACCUACAUGGAUUAAUUUUGUUCUGUGAAGUGUCUCAAUAAAGCAGACUCGAAAACCAGUCUCAAUAAAGCAGACUUGAAAACCAGUCUCAAACAUGAACAAAGUGGAAUAAAGAGUUCUUAAACCA